rnacentral:rRNA from 1 species
UACGUAGGGCGCAAGCGUUGUCCGGAAUUAUUGGGCGUAAAGAGCUCGUAGGCGGCUCAGUAAGUCGGGUGUGAAAACUCCAGGCUCAACCUGGAGACGCCACCCGAUACUGCUGUGGCUAGAGUCCGGUAGGGGAGCAUGGAAUUCCUGGUGUAGCGGUGAAAUGCGCAGAUAUCAGGAGGAACACCGGUGGCGAAGGCGGGUCUCUGGGCCGAUACUGACGCUGAGGAGCGAAAGCGUGGGGAGCGAACAGG